CUCGAACGACGUAGCAGUACGGAGUGGCGCACGGGUGAGUAACACGUGGAUAAUCUGCCCUUCAGUGGGGAAUAACUAACCGAAAGGUUGGCUAACACCGCAUGAGACCACAGUACCUGCGGGUACAGGGGUUAAAAAUUUAUUGCUGAAGGAUGAGUCUGCGCGGGAUUAGCUAGUUGGUGGGGUAACGGCCCACCAAGGCAACGAUCCCUAGCUGGUCUGAGAGGAAGACCAGUCACACUGGGACUGAGACACGGUCCAGACUCCUACGGGAGGCAGCAGUAGGGAAUAUUGCGCAAUGGACGAAAGUCUGACGCAGCGACGCCGCGUGAGUGAUGAAGGCCUUAGGGUCGUAAAGCUCUGUUGAAUGGGAAGAAAAAAAUGACGGUACCAUUCGAGGAAGGACCGGCUAACUUCGUGCCAGCAGCCGCGGUAAUACGAGGGGUCCUAGCGUUGUUCGGAAUCAUUGGGCGUAAAGGGUGUGUAGGUGGCUAUGUAAGUCAGGUGUGAAAGCCCCAGGCUCAACCCGGGAAGUGCAUUUGAUACUGCGUAGCUUGAGUACCGAAGAGGAUAGCGGAAUUCCAGGUGUAGUGGUGAAAUACGUAGAUAUCUGGAGGAACACCGGUGGCGAAUGCGGCUAUCUGGUCGAGUACUGACACUGAGACACGAAAGCAUGGGGAUCAAACAGGAUUAGAUACCCUGGUAGUCCAUGCCGUAMACGAUGUGUACUUGGUGUUGGAGGUAUUGACCCCAUCAGUGCCGAAGCUAACGCGUUAAGUACCCCGCCUGGGGAGUACGGCCGCAAGGUUAAAACUCAAAGAAAUUGACGGGGGUCCCGCACAAGCGGUGGAGCAUGUGGUUUAAUUCGAUGCAUCGCGUAAAACCUUACCUGGGGCUCGAAAUGUAGUGC
rnacentral:rRNA from 1 species